GGGCGUGUAGCUCAGUUGGUUAGAGCGCUGCCCUGAUAAGGCAGAGGUCGGGUGUUCAAGUCCCCCCACGCCCA
rnacentral:tRNA from 1 species